GUUCAGAAUACCAUGCAUGUAACAUUGUAUUGCUAAUGUAAUUAUGUCAACAACAAAAGCAACAAAGGAGCGGGAAAAGCUAUUUUAGUUACAUUUUUGAGUUGCUAAAACUACGUUGCCAAAAUAAUUUUUUGAAAUAAGAUAUACUCUCUAUGCAGAAAGAGUAUUGUUGUAAGAUACAUUAUACAUUUACGUCGUUCCUACUGCUAAAACCUUAACCAAUAAAGGUAAACUUACUCGAAUUUCUAUUCUUACGAAUAGUCAAACGCGGAAGUCUUAUCAAACUUUAAUCAAAAUUGACGUCAUAUUUCUGUAAGACAUUUCCUAAGUGAUUCUAAGGGAACCGUCGAAGUAUUUCUGUAUUUUAGUUUGGUUUUACAAUUUGGAACCUUUUCCUGCCAGCAUUUUUAUAUUGCUUAUAAGUUUGAUUGUGAGAAGUUUUUUUUAUAUACUCUGUGGUUGUGUGUGCAUAAUUUUUAAUAAGCAAUGUAUCUUACUAUAUAACUCAAAGCAAAAUAUUUUUAGAGAGAAAGCGAAAAUUUUGUUCAAUGUUCAUUGACAGGUUGUAGAUUUUAUUGAUUUUGCAUUGAUUUUUUCCUGUAAAUUGCUGUUUAAAUACUGUAGAAAGGGUUUCUUUCAUGUUGCUCUAUGUUUACAUUAAAGUAUACACCAGUUUU
rnacentral:misc_RNA from 1 species